rnacentral:rRNA from 1 species
CCUACGGGAGGCAGCAGUAGGGAAUAUUGCUCAAUGGGGGAAACCCUGAACCAGCAACGCCGCGUGGAGGAUGAAGGUUUUCGGAUUGUAAACUCCUUUUGUUAGAGAAGAUAAUGACGGUAUGUAACGAAUAAGCACGGGCCAACUCCGUACCAGCAGCCGCUGUAAUACGGAGGGUGCGCGCCUUAGUCGGUAUCACUGGGCGUAAAGAGCGCGUAGGGGGGAUAGCAAGUCAGAUGUGAAAGCCUAUGGCUUAACCAUAGAACUGCAUUUGAAACUGGUAUUCUAGAGUAUGGGAGAGGAAGGUGGAAUUCUUGGUGUAGGGGUAAAAUGCGUAGAGAUCAAGAGGAACACUCAUCGCGAAGGCGACCUGCUAGAACAUAACUGACGCUGAGGCGCGAAAGCGUGGGGAGCAAACAGGAUUAGAUACCCGAGUAGUC